UACGGAGGGAGCUAGCGUUAUUCGGAAUUACUGGGCGUAAAGCGUACGUAGGCGGCUUUGUAAGUUAGAGGUGAAAGCCUGGAGCUCAACUCCAGAAUUGCCUUUAAGACUGCAUCGCUUGAAUCCAGGAGAGGUGAGUGGAAUUCCGAGUGUAGAGGUGAAAUUCGUAGAUAUUGGGAAGAACACCGGUGGCGAAGGCGCUUGUCUGGCUGACAACUGACGCUGAGACUCGAAAGCAUGGGGAGCAAACAGG
rnacentral:rRNA from 1 species